CGAAAGCCUGACGGAGCAAUACCGCGUGAGGGACGAAGGUCUGUGGAUUGUAAACCUCUUUUGUUAGGGAAGAUAAUGACGGUACCUAACGAAUAAGCAUCGGCUAACUCCGUGCCAGCAGCCGCGGUAAGACGGAGGAUGCAAGCGUUAUCCGGAAUUAUUGGGCGUAAAGCGUACGUAGGCUGUUAGAUAAGUCUGUUGUCAAAGAGCGAGGCUUAACCUCGUAAAGGCAAUGGAAACUGUCUGACUAGAGAGAGAAAGGGGCAGGAGGAAUUCCAGGUGUAGCGGUGAAAUGCGUAGAUAUCUGGAAGAACACCAGUGGCGAAAGCGUCCUGCUGGAUCUCAACUGACGCUGAAGUACGAAAGCUAGGGGAGCGAAUGGGAUUAGAUACCCCAGUAGUCCUAGCCGUAAACGAUGGGUACUAGGUGUUGGCCGUAUCGACCCGGUCAGUGCCGUAGCUAACGCGUUAAGUACCCCGCCUGGGGAGUACGGUCGCAAGAUUGAAACUCAAAGGAAUUGACGGGGGCCCGCACAAGCGGUGGAGUAUGUGGUUUAAUUCGAUGCAACGCGAAGAACCUUACCAAGGCUUGACAUGUCGUGAAUCCUCUUGAAAGGGAGGAGUGCCUUCGGGAGCACGAACACAGGUGGUGCAUGGCUUCUCAGCUC
rnacentral:rRNA from 1 species